AUGGUCGCGCUCGCCUCCCUCUCUUCUCUGUGCCUCUGCGGCGCCGCUCGCCGCCGUUCUGCCUCCGCGCCCACCUCCAUAUCAUGCUGCAUGCUCGCAACUCCCUCCGGCAGAGGGUCUCAUGAAUCUAGAAUACCCCGUAGAAGGUUCCGGAGAACCGAGGGUGCUACUAAGAGCAUGGAAGAUUCAGUCAAGCGAAAGAUGGAGCAGUUCUACGAAGGGGUGGAUGGUCCGCCCCUCCGGGUCCUCCCAAUCGGCGGCCUUGGGGAAAUCGGCAUGAAUUGCAUGCUCGUCGGGAACUGUGACCGUUAUAUCCUGAUUGAUGCAGGGGUUAUGUUCCCAGACUACGACGAGUUUGGUGUGCAAAAGAUUAUUCCUGACACAACUUUCAUCAAGAAAUGGAGCCACAAAAUUGAAGCAGUUAUUAUUACACAUGGCCAUGAAGAUCACAUCGGUGCGUUGCCUUGGGUUAUUCCUGCACUGGAUUCGACCACACCUAUUUUUGCGUCAUCUUUUACGAUGGAGCUCAUAAAGAAGCGUUUGAAGGAGUUUGGGAUUUUUCUCUCAUCCAGGCUAAAGAGUUUUAGAGUUAGAAAUAGGUUUCAGGCUGGUCCAUUUGAAGUGGAACCUAUCCGCGUAACUCAUUCAAUUCCUGACUGCUGUGGAUUAGUGCUUCGUUGUGGUGAUGGCACAAUCUUCCAUACUGGUGACUGGAAAAUUGAUGAAUCACCAGUGGAUGGGAGAAUAUUCGACCGAGAAGCAUUGGAGGAGCUCUCGAAAGAAGGUGUUACUCUGAUGAUGAGCGACUCAACAAAUAUUCUGUCCCCUGGAAGAUCCACGAGUGAAUCUGUUGUCGCUAGUUCAUUGUUGCGUCAUGUUUCAGAAGCAAAAGGGAGAAGAGUAAUUACAACACAAUUUGCUUCAAAUAUACAUCGCAUUGGGAGCAUCAAAGCCGCUGCAGACUUAACUGGUCGAAGGCUGGUCUUUGUUGGAAUGUCACUGCGGACGUACCUUGAGGCUGCUUUCAGGGAUGGAAAGGCACCACUGGAUCCAUCAACCUUGGUUAAGGCAGAGGACAUGGAUGCAUAUGACCCUAAAAAUCUUUUAGUCGUUACUACAGGUUCACAGGCAGAGCCACGUGCAGCUCUGAAUCUCGCAUCUUAUGGGGGGAGCCAUGCUCUUAAACUAUGCAAAGAGGACGUCCUUCUUUAUUCAGCUAAGGUUAUCCCUGGAAACGAGUCCCGGGUAAUGAAGAUGUUAAAUCGCCUCACCGACCUUGGCCCCAAAAUUGUUAUGGGUAAAGAUGCUGGCCUCCAUACAUCUGGGCAUGCCUAUCACGAUGAACUGGAGGAAGUUCUACAGAUUGUUAAACCGCAGCAUUUCUUGCCUGUUCAUGGGGAACUCUUGUUUCUCAAAGAACAUGAAUUGCUAGGAAGGUCAACUGGCAUAAAGCACACUACUGUAAUUAAAAAUGGGGAGAUGCUUGGUGUAUCUCAUCUAAGAAACAGAAAGGUUUUGUCAAAUGGGUUUGUUUCUUUAGGGAAGCAGGACUUUAAGCUAAUGUAUAGUGACGGAGACAAAGCUUUUGGAACGUCCACUGAUCUCUGCAUCGAUGAGAGAUUCAGGAUCGCAUCUGAUGGCAUUAUCUUUGUCAGCAUGGAGAUCUUCCGACCUAAACCUGCUUCACCACAGUCUGGCUUGAAAGGGAAAUUUAAAAUAACAACACGGUGUCUAUGGCUUGAUAAUGGGAGGCUACUUGAUGCACUUUACAAGGCUGCGCAUGCAGCAUUGUCAAGCUGUCCUUUGAAUUGCCCACUUAGUCACAUGGAGCGAAUGGUAUCUGAAAUCUUGAGGAAAAUGGUUAGAAAGUACAGUGGAAAGAGACCUGACGUCAUUGUAGUUGCUUCAGAGAACACUACAGUAGGUUUCUCAGAAGAGGUAAUAAAUAGGCAUAUGAGUCUAGACUAUGAGAAAACACGGCCAGAGAACCCAGAGCGUGAGGCUGAAGAGAGCAUCCCUGAGGUCAUGAGAACAACACCUGACGAUGCAACCACUAGCUCCAAUGGUGAAUCAUUCUUCUCUCCUGAUUUACAUCAGCCUAAAACAUUGGAUCAUUUUUGGGAGUCGUUCAAGUCCCCUACAGCAGUAAAAAUUGCAAGAAUUGUCAAUGCUUCAGCUCAAGGGAACAAACCAAAGCUCGGCAAGAUCAGCAUAAUAGAUAAGGAUUCCAGCACGUCAGCUCCUGCUGCAGCUAAAUCUUCAAGAAAGAACAAGUGGAAGCCCGAGGAAAUUAAGAGCUUGAUACAGCUGCGUGGAGAAAUGAAUGAGAAAUUCCAAACCGUCAAAGGAAGAAUGGUUCUGUGGGAAGAGAUAUCUGGUAGCCUGUUGAAGCAGGGGAUAACUCGUACACCAGCACAGUGCAAAUCUGUGUGGACAUCAUUGCUUCAGAAAUACGAGGAGAGCAAGAAGGAUGAAGAAAACAUGCAGACAUGGCAAUAUUUUUCGGCCAUGGAUAGUUUUUUAUCAUGCGAAGGGGAAAUGGCAACCAAAUGA
rnacentral:rRNA from 1 species